CAGGCGGGGGGGAUGGAAAGCUGUCGCUGUGAAUCCCUCUCAGCGCAUGGGGAGCGAGGGGGGGGCGGACGGAGGUUCGAUCCCCCGGCUGCAAUGAUCCCAUUAGAAGGAUUCUGGUCUCCUCCUUCCUGAGCCACGUUUCUGGUAGACGCGUGUUCAUCCGGAGUCACUGCCAGGCAGAACAGGGAGUGACUCCAGAUUAACCUGGGGGCAGAUCAGAUCAGGGCGUGUCCCUGUGGGGAGGGGGUUUCAGUUGUUGCCAGAGGGGGGAAAGUGACUCAGUUUCUCUCCAUCUCUUUCUCUGCUCAGGAUAUUGGGGUUGAGGUUCCUGGUUCAGAUGCUGCUGCCCCGAUUGUGGUGUGGGAGCCCAGGCUGAGCAGCUGCUGCUCCCCCAGCGGGAUCGGGGCUGGGGAGUGACCGUGAGUGAAGCUGCCUCUGUGCCCAAGGAUAACAAGCUUGUGGCUAGAGGGGAAGCGGUAGACAUGGUAUAUCGUGACUUGAGUAAUGCUUUGGAUACUGUCUGGCAUGACCUUCUCCUAAACAAACUAGAGAAGUACAACUGAGACGGAACUACCAUUAGGCUGCAGUGUCACGUCCCAUCCUUCCAGGGACCAGGGAAGGGAAAUGGCUGCCGUGGGGCCAGCUCAGGUAGGGAUUAUCGGGGAGUUGCUGGUGGGCUCCUGUUGGCGGGAGAAAGGCUGUAAAGACAUAGGA